rnacentral:rRNA from 2 species
GGACGAAGUCUGAUGGAGCACGCCGCGUGAGUGAAGAAGGGUUUCGGCUCGUAAAACUCUGUUGUUAAAGAAGAACAUAUCUGAGAGUAACUGUUCAGGUAUUGACGGUAUUUAACCAGAAAGCCACGGCUAACUACGUGCCAGCAGCCGCGGUAAUACGUAGGUGGCAAGCGUUGUCCGGAUUUAUUGGGCGUAAAGCGAGCGCAGGCGGUUUUUUAAGUCUGAUGUGAAAGCCUUCGGCUCAACCGAAGAAGUGCAUCGGAAACUGGAAAACUUGAGUGCAGAAGAGGACAGUGGAACUCCAUGUGUAGCGGUGAAAUGCGUAGAUAUAUGGAAGAACACCAGUGGCGAAGGCGGCUGUCUGGUCUGUAACUGACGCUGAGGCUCGAAAGUAUGGGUAGCAAACAGGAUUAGAUACCCUGGUAGUCCAUACCGUAAACGAUGAAUGCUAAGUGUUGGAGGGUUUCCGCCCUUCAGUGCUGCAGCUAACGCAUUAAGCAUUCCGCCUGGGGAGUACGGCCGCAAGGCUGAAACUCAAGAAAUUUUGACGGGG